rnacentral:lncRNA from 12 species
GGAAGAGUGGGGGACUCAGAACACACCAGAUUUCCGUCAUGCUGGAAAUGCAGGGGAGGUCGUGGGUGUUAUCUGCAUUUACCACGGGGGCUUCACGGCUGUGAACAGACCAUAAAGCAGUUUUCAGCCUUGUGUGCCUCCCUCUUCAAUAAACUGACUCCUCUUUGGUCAGAGCGCUCUGGAGCAGAGGUGCAGUUGGAGGAGCAGGCAGAGGUAACCUUGAACCCCUGAAUUCCUGCCUUUUGAGACAAUCGAAUGCCCACAGCCAGCCCCUGGCAGCAGUCAGCCAGGCAGCUGCAGCACAUUCCAAAUAUUGCUCUAUUUAAAGCAUCCCAGGGCUCUCAGAGCAGCUGCAGAGGCAAAGCCUAGCCUGCCUUUUAACUUGCAGAGGGGCAAUGGCAGAACCAGCCCAGGCGCCGCGGUCCCGCCUGCUCGUGCCCGUGCUGCUGGCGCUCGGCUGGAUCCUGGGCUGUGCCCUCGUGGUGUACAUUGUCUUCUGCUGACAGGGGCAGGGCACGGCCGCACGCAGAGCCACGCCUGGUCGGAAGAACCUACAAUGAUGUUGAUGAGAAGAGCACAGAAACUCAAUUUAGAUUUCUAACGAGUAAAAUAUGAAUAAAAUGAGUUAUUUUUAAUAUCAA